GCAAGGAUAUAACAGGGCUUGCUGGUGGAGGCUUAGGGGAUAUAUCUGCCUGCUUGAAAGCACUCUUAAACUUUCUAUGGAAAGGUAAUUUAUAUUAUGGCGAUAACUUCGAACACAACCUUCAGGCUUUCAUUGAGAGCAUAGAUUCUAUAGCAACGAAAUAACAUAUUUUAGCAUCUUUGGAGCCUGGAACUGUGUGCAGCAUUCAAGGUGAGGCUACCACAAGGCUGAAUGUAAGGUGAGAAUCACUUCUUUUAUUGCUUACAGUGUGUCUUGUAUGUAAUAAGCUUCUGAUGGCAGUGAU
rnacentral:lncRNA from 1 species